AUGCUAGAGGACGCCACUCACAAAAGGGCUCAGUGGACCAUUGAGGUCCAGGUGUUCCAGCACGGGGGUGCCGGGCAGCUGCUCCCAGAAGACCAAGGCUGCGUCCAAGGGCAAAGGAGGGGAUUGGUCCAUCUGCCCAAACCACAACCCGGCUUAUCACCUCCACUUCCCCCGACUCCGCCUCCUCUUCCUCUUCCUCCUCCUCCUUCACCUCCUCCUCCUCCACCUCCUCCUCCUCCACCUCCUCCUCCUCCACCUCCUCCUCCUCCUCCUCCUCCUCCUCUUCCUCCUCCUCUUCCUCCUCCUCCUCUUCCUCCUCCUCCUCCACCUCCUCCUCCACCUCCUCCUCCUCUUCCUCCUCCUCCUCCUCCUCCUCUUCCUCCUCCUCCUCUCCACCUCCUCCUCCACCUCCUCCUCCUCCACCUCCUCCUCCACCUCCUCCUCCACUUUCUCCUCCUCCUCCUCCUCUUCCUCCACUUUCUCCUCCUCCUCCUCACCUCCUCCUCCUCUCCUUCCUCCUCCUCUCCUCUUCCUCCUCCUCCUCUUCCUCCUCCUCCUCUCUUCCUCCUCCCCUCCACCUCCUCUCCACCUCCUCCUCCACCUCCUCCUCCUCCACCUCCUCCUCCUCUUCCUCCUCCUCUCCUCCUCCUCUUCCUCCGCCUCCUCCUCCUCCUCUUCCUCCUCUUCCUCUCCUCCUCUUCCUUCUCCUCCUCCUCCUCCACCCCUCCUCCACCUCCACCUCCUCCUCCUCCACUUCCUCCUCCUCCUCCUCCGCUUCCUCCUCCUCUCCUCCACUUUCUCCUCCUCCUCCUCCUCCUCCUCUCCUUCCUCCUCCUCCUUCCUCUUCCUCCUCCCCCUCUUCCUCCUCCUCCUCUUCCUCCUCUCCUCCUUCCUCCUCCCCUCCUCUUCCUCCUCCUUCCUCCUCCUCCCCUCCUCUUCCUUCCUCCUCCUCCUUCCUCCUCCUCUUCCUCCUCCGCCUCUUCCUCCUCCUCCUCCACCUCCUCCUCCACCUCCUCCUCCACCCCUCCUCCACCUCCUCCUCCACUCCUCCUCCACCUCCUCCUCCUCCACUUUCUCCUCCUCCUCCUCUUCCUCCUCCUCUCUUCCUCCACUUUCUCCUCCUCCUCUCUCCUCCUCCUCUCUCCUCCUCCUCUCUUCCUCCUCCUUCCUCCUCCUCCUCUUCCUCCUCCUCUUCCUCCUCCUCUCUUCCUCCACCUCCUCCUCCACCUCCUCCACCUCCACCUCCUCCUCCUCUACCUCUUCCUCCUCCUCCUCCUUCCUCCUCUUCCUUCCUCCUCCUCUCCACCUCCUCCUCCUCUCCACCUCCUCCUCCCCCUCUUCCUCCUCCUCCUCUCCUUCCUCCUCUUCCUCCGCCUCCUCCUCCUCUGCUUCCUCCUCCUCCUCUUCCCUCCUCCUCUCCUUCCUCCUCUUCCUCCUCCUCUUCCUCCUCCUCUCCACCUCCUCCUCCUCACCUCCUCCUCCUUCCUCCUCCUCUCCUUCCUCCUCCUCCUCUUCCUCCUCCUCCUCUUCCUCCUCCUCCUCCUCCUUCCUCCUCCUCCUCUCUCCUCCUCCUCCGCCUCUUCCUCCUCUUCCUUCCUCCUCUUCUCCUCCUCUGCUUCCUCCUCUUCCUCUUCCUCCUCCUCUACCUCUUCCUCUCCUCCUUCCUCCUCCCCUCCUCCUCUCCUCUUCCUCCUCUUCCUCUCCUCCUCUUCCUCCCCUCCUCUUCCUCCUCUCCUUCCUCCUCCUCCUCCUCUUCCUCCACCUCCUCCUCUUCCUCCUCCUCCUCCACUUCCUCCUCCUCCUCCUUCCUCCUCCUCUUCCUCUUCCUCCUCUUCUCCUCCUCCUCUUCCUCUUCCUCCUCCUCUCUCCUCCUCUUCCUCCUCCUCCUCUUCCUUCUCCUCCUCUUCCCCUCUUCCUCCUCCUCCUCCUCUUCCUCUCCUCCUCCUCCUCCUCCUCUUCCUCUUCCUCUCCUCCUCCUCCUCUUCCUCCUCCUCCUCUUCCUCUUCCUCCUCUUCCUCCUCCUCCUCCUCCUCCUCCUCCUCCCUCCUCCUCUUCCUUCUCCUCCUCUUCCUCCUCCGCCUCUUCCUCCUCCUCCUCCUCUUCCGCCUCCUCCUCCUCCUCUUCCUUCUCCUCCUCUUCCUCUUCCUCCUCCUCUUCCUCCUCCUCCUCCUCCACCUCUCCUCCACCUCCUCCACCUCCUCCACCUCCACCUCUAGCUCCAAGGCCCUUUACCUCCUAAAGACCCCUUCUGGCACCAGGCUGCCACUCUGGGCCCCUGCUCUAAAGGGCGAGGCUUCAGCGCUUGGUACAGUCGUGCCAGGCCGUGGGAUGGGCCAAGAAGCAAGACCUCCAGGAUCCGAUGUGACCAGAAGCUGCAAGCGGAGGGGACCCCGGGGCGAGCCGAGAGCAGGUGGCUUGGAUCUGGGUCAGCUGGGGAUCCGGGCCGCCUCGGACAGCGGGGGGCUUGGGGGCAGCCAAGCUGGGCUAACACCAUGA
rnacentral:lncRNA from 1 species